rnacentral:rRNA from 1 species
UACAGAGGGUGCGAGCGUUAAUCGGAAUUACUGGGCGUAAAGCGCGCGUAGGCGGCUUUGCAAGUCGGGUGUGAAAUCCCCAGGCUUAACCUGGGAACUGCACUCGAGACUGCAUUGCUAGAGUACUGGAGAGGAGACUGGAAUUUACGGUGUAGCAGUGAAAUGCGUAGAGAUCGUAAGGAAGACCAGUGGCGAAGGCGAGUCUCUGGACAGUUACUGACGCUGAGGCACGAAGGCCAGGGGAGCAAACGGG